GUGGGGAAUAUUGGACAAUGGGGGCAACCCUGAUCCAGCAAUGCCGCGUGUGUGAAGAAGGCCUUCGGGUUGUAAAGCACUUUUACCAGGAACGAAACGCGCCGGAUUAAUACUUUGGCGAACUGACGGUACCUGGGGAAUAAGCACCGGCUAACUUCGUGCCAGCAGCCGCGGUAAUACGAAGGGUGCAAGCGUUACUCGGAAUUACUGGGCGUAAAGCGUGCGUAGGUGGCCUGUUAAGUCGAAUGUGAAAGCCCCGGGCUCAACCUGGGAAUGGCAUCCGAUACUGGCAGGCUAGAGUUCGAUAGAGGGUAGUGGAAUUCCAGGUGUAGCGGUGAAAUGCGUAGAGAUCUGGAGGAACAUCAGUGGCGAAGGCGGCUACCUGGAUCAGAACUGACACUGAGGCACGAAAGCGUGGGGAGCAAACAGGAUUAGAUACCCUUGUAGUCC
rnacentral:rRNA from 1 species